rnacentral:rRNA from 1 species
GACGAACGCUGGCGGCGUGCUUAACACAUGCAAGUCGAACGGUGAAGCGCCUUCCUUUUUGGUGGGUGUGGAUGAGUGGCGAACGGGUGAGUAACACGUGAGUAACCUGCCCCCUUCUUCUGGAUAACCGCAUGAAAGUGUGGCUAAUACGGGAUAUUCUGGGUCUGUCGCAUGAUGGGUCUGGGAAAGAUAUUGUUUCGGUGGGGGAUGGGCUCGCGGCCUAUCAGCUUGUUGGUGGGGUGAUGGCCUACCAAGGCGGUGACGGGUAGCCGGCCUGAGAGGGUGGACGGUCACACUGGGACUGAGACACGGCCCAGACUCCGACGGGAGGCAGCAGUGGGGAAUAUUGCACAAUGGGCGCAAGCCCGAUGCAGCGACGCCGCGUGAGGGAUGGAGGCCUUCGGGUUGUGAACCUCUUUCGCCAGUGAAGCAGGCCUGCCUCGUUUGUGGGUGGGUUGACGGUAGCUGGAUAAGAAGCGCCGGCUAACUACGUG